rnacentral:lncRNA from 1 species
CUGUCUAGAAGCAUCAGGACAGACCUCCAGGACCCUAUCUGUAGAACACAUCCUAUAGCCCCCUUACUCACACUCUCCUCUUGGGGACCCCAACCCGUGCUCACUCUGAGUCCAUGGUACCCACAGAUGACACUGAGAGAGAGGGCCAGAGUCUCAUGCAAUUUGGUGCUAGCCUUCCCGGGACUAGGACAGAGCCAAGUCCUCCCCACCUCAGUGCUCCCAGGGACCCCACAACCUUCCCUUGCAGGGGUGUGGGGAGGUUGGAUUGGGUUUGGAGGUCAACUGUCUCCAUCAGAAGCCAUGUUGUGCCCCCUAGACUGGACGAGUAGACAAGAAUGUGCCCCUGGUGUGCGGCCACACUGCCCCUGUGCUAGACAUCGCCUGGUGUCCACACAAUGACAACGUCAUUGCCAGUGGCUCUGAGGACUGCACAGUUAUGGUAAGUCUUGUUAGGAAUGUGGGUUUGAAGGGGUCUCCAGGAAGAACCUGGUGUUGAAGCCCCAGAGACUCACUUGCCCCUUUCUGCAGGUGUGGGAGAUCCCGGAUGGGGGCCUGGUGCUGCCCUUGCGGGAGCCUGUUGUCACCUUGGAGGGCCACACCAAGCGGGUUGGCAUCGUGGCCUGGCACCCCACAGCCCAGAAUGUACUGCUCAGCGCAGGUGCCAUAGGGUGAGGAGGGGAGGGCUAGGAGACUUGAUAGAGGGCAAAGGCUCAU